rnacentral:rRNA from 1 species
UACGUAGGGGGCUAGCGUUGUCCGGAAUCAUUGGGCGUAAAGCGCGUGUAGGCGGUCCGGUAAGUCUGCUGUGAAAGUCGGGGGCUCAACCCUCGAAUGCCGGUGGAUACUGUUGGGCUUGAGUACGGAAGAGGCGAAUGGAAUUCCCGGUGUAGCGGUGAAAUGCGCAGAUAUCGGGAGGAACACCGGUGGCGAAGGCGGUUCUCUGGGCCUUACCUGACACUGAGGAGCGAAAGCGUGGGGAGCGAACAGG